GUUUGAUCCUGGCUCAAGAUGACCGCUGGCGGCGUGCUUAACACAUGCAAGUCGAACGGGGGUUACUUCGUGGCGAUCUUCGGAUCAAAGCGAUAUAACUCGAGUGGCGGACGGGUGAGUAACACGUGAGUAACCUGCCUUUUGCUGGGGAAUAACUGUGGGAAACCAUGGCUAAUACCGCAUGUUGUGCAUGACAGGCAUCUGUUAUGUAUGAAAGGAGAAAUCCGGCAAAAGAUGGGCUCGCGUCCGAUUAGGUAGUUGGUGGGGUAACGGCCUACCAAGCCCGCGAUCGGUAGCCGGACUGAGAGGUCGAACGGCCACAUUGGGACUGAGACACGGCCCACACUCCUACGGGAGGCAGCAGUGGGGAAUAUUGGGCAAUGGGCGAAAGCCUGACCCAGCGACGCCGCGUGAAGGACGAAGGCCUUCGGGUUGUAAACUUCUUUGGGGAGGGACGAAAAUGACGGUACCUCCAGAACAAGCCACGGCUAACUACGUGCCAGCAGCCGCGGUAAUACGUAGGUGGCAAGCGUUAUCCGGAUUUACUGGGUGUAAAGGGCGCGCAGGCGGCCCCAAAAGUCAGAUGUGAAAGAUCAAGGCUUAACUUUGACAUGUCAUCUGAAACUUUGGGACUUGAGUAUCAGAGGGGAAAGCGGAAUUCCUGGUGGAGCGGUAAAAUGCGCAGAGAUCAGGAGGAACACCGGUGGCGAAGGCGGCUUUCUGGCUGACAACUGACGCUGAGGCGCGAAAGCGUGGGGAGCCAACAAGAGUCGAUCCCCUGGUAGUCCACGCCGUAAACGAUGAUUACUGGGGGUAGGGGGUAUCGACUCCCUCUGUGCCGAAGCUAACGCGAUAAGUAAUCCACCUGGGGAGUACGGCCGCAAGGCUAAAACUCAAAGGAAUUGACAGGUCCCCGCACAAGCAGCGGAGCGUGUGGUUUAAUUCGAUGCUCCGCGAAGAACCUUACCUGGGUUUGACAUAACAGUGGUAGAGAAGUGAAAACGGAUCGACCCUUCGGGGAGCUGUUACAGGUGUUGCAUGCCUGUCGUCAGCUCGUGUCGUGAGAUGUUCGGUUAAGUCCGCUAACGAGCGCAACCCGCGCUGUGUGUUACAAGUGUCACACAGUACCGCCGGUAUUAAGUCGGAGGAAGGUGCGGAUGACGUCAAGUCAGCAUGACCUUUAUAUCCAGGGCUACACACACGCUACAAUGGUCAGAACAAUAGGUUGCCAAGCCGCAAGGCGGAGCCAAUCCUCCAAAUCUGGCCUCAGUUCAGAUUGCAGGCUGCAACUCGCCUGCAUGAAGUCGGAGUUGCUAGUAACCGCAGGUCAGCAUACUGCGGUGAAUACGUUCCCGGGCCUUGCACACACCGCCCGUCAAG
rnacentral:rRNA from 1 species